rnacentral:rRNA from 1 species
CCUACGGGUGGCAGCAGUGAGGAAUAUUGGUCAAUGGGCGGAAGCCUGAACCAGCCAAGUAGCGUGCAGGAUGACGGCCCUACGGGUUGUAAACUGCUUUUAUACGGGAAUAACGCGCCUUACGUGUGGGCUUUGCAUGUACCGUAUGAAUAAGGACCGACUAACUCCGUGCCAGCAGCCGCGGUAAUACGGAGGAUCCGAGCGUUAUCCGGAUUUAUUGGGUUUAAAGGGUGCGUAGGCGGCCUUUUAAGUCAGCGGUGAAAGUCUGUGGCUCAACCAUAGAAUUGCCGUUGAAACUGGGGGGGCUUGAGUAUGUUUGAGGCAGGCGGAAUGCGUGGUGUAGCGGUGAAAUGCUUAGAUAUCACGCAGAACUCCGAUUGCGAAGGCAGCAUACCGGCGCCCGACUGACGCUGAGGCACGAAAGCGUGGGGAUCGAACAGGAUUAGAUACCCCGGUAGUC